AUACGGAGGAUCCGAGCGUUAUCCGGAUUUAUUGGGUUUAAAGGGUGCGCAGGCGGCCAUUUAAGUCAGCGGUUAAAUCGUGGGGCUCAACCCCAUUCUGCCGUUGAUACUGGGUGGCUUGAUUGCGGUCGAGGUUGGCGGAAUUCGUUGUGUAGUGGUGAAAUGCAUAGAUAUGACGAAGAACACCGAUUGCGUAGGCAGCUGACCAGACCGCAAAUGACGCUCAUGCACGAAAGUGCGGGGAUCGAACAGGAUUAGAUACCCUGGUAGUCCGCACAGUAAACGAUGAAUACUUGUUUUCGGCGAUAUAAUGUCGGAGGCAAAGCGAAAGCGAUAAGUAUUCCACCUGGGGAGUACGCCGGCAACGGUGAAACUCAAAGGAAUGGGCGGGG
rnacentral:rRNA from 1 species